ensembl:lncRNA
CUCUUUUUCAGGCAUAUUAGAAACCUCCCUUACAGAGAAUAUUUAUCAGCCAAGAAGAGAGCUUUAAAAUUCUAGGUAGAUAUGCUUCUACCUGUAAAUACUAAGAACUUCUCAUGCCUCUUCUACCUAUGCAGGUUUUGAGAAUGGCUGCUACCUGUCUGACAGUGAAGAUAGUGUCAAAAUCAGACACAACUGAUUCAGUGGUUCUACAGCUCUGUUUCCUCCACUAAGAAGCUUUUACAGACAAUAGGGGAUGUGUGCAUGGCACUGAAUGUAAAGCUUGGAUUCUCUUCUCAAGCAGGAAACCCAGCAGAAGGGUUUCUUUUUCUUUUUGAAAGCUUUUUUCUGACAACUGUAUUUGUAAAUUAAAAUCCUUAAGAUGCUGGAAUGCCAGCUUUUCUUUUCAUAGAGAUAAAUACAGCAAUGUCUUCACUUUCUGAUGCAUCUCUCAGGGCACGACAUUCAAUUAAAAACAGCAUCAGAAAAACAUGUUUUUCUGUACAUUUUUCAGCUAUCAAAUAGGUGGUUGUUAUAAAAGAAAUUUUUAGUGACAGGGAAUGAUCUGUAACUUGCUUGCAAUACCCAAAAGAAUGCUGCCAGGCAGAUUAUGAGCUCUUUGUGUCUAUCAUGGACAUAUGAGAUAUAUGUAUGUGUGAGUUCAUAGACUUAUAUACGUUCUGUAUGCAUGUAUAUGUGCAUGUGCACGUACACAUCUGCAUACAGUAUGACAGUAGAAAUUGUAGGAACUGGUAGGUUGGCUGCUGUGAUUACAGCCAAGGUGAAUAGCCCACAUGCACUGGGCAGUGGGUUGCCUUUGGAAGGUAUUGAUAAGCUUAGUUUCAAGUGGAACAAAUCCUGACUGACUGUGGUUAAUCUUGUUCCAGUUGAUGCAGAGAAGACUUAAGAACUGCAGCAGACGUUGCCAAUGGCCAGUGAUGGAAGUUAAUUUCCAGCAGGGGUCAGAAUGGUGUCUGAAGUGCAUGGUCUUCUUACAGCAGCUAUCUCACUGCCAGUGGAUAUGCAGUCGGUUUUCUGGGAUGUGGGACAGUGCCAGGCUUGGUACUCAGCUGCCAUAACAGCAUGCUGCUGUUAUGAGGAAACUGCCAAGAAAAGCUUGUUCUGUGGAAGUGCUGCUCAUUUACAAUCAGGUACCUAUGGCACCUCCUCCUGAAAGCACCAGGUCUCUGGUAAGUUGCUUAGGGUUCACUGUGCUGCUUUUCCUGUCCUAUCUCUCCAGGCUAGAGUCUGUCCCAUUUCCCUCGUGCCAGUUUUCUGAGUUAGUUCAAGCCUGCUAAUCCCAUCCACCAAUGGCACCAAUUUUAUGGGAAAUCCUAUUUAUUCCUUAGCAGUGCUUGAUCCCAUGGCCAAGAUCUCCUAUCUUCAUUUGUUUUUCUGAUAGAAAAUUUAUCUGCUAGAGAAGGAAAAAAAGAAUUGUCACUCUGCUAGCUAUUUGUCAUUACAAUGAUUUUUUGUUUUGGUUUUAGGGUGAAGUAAUGCUCAGGAUACUCUCAAGCAUCUUACACAUCCUUAUUCCAAGUAAGUCACACAAUUAAUUGCUGUGAUUUCUUCCAAAAUCAUAUGAAUUUACUGCGGGAGCUUUCUCUCAAACAUCAAAUAUUAGUUGUGCUUUAUUUUUUUAUACCAACAGAACACGAUUCUUUAAAGGCUUCCCUUAUCUUUUAGUGUCAGACUCUGACAAGUCCUAAGUUUUAUAUAUUACAUUAAAGAGAGUUUCUCCUUUGCAUAAGUGACGUGCAAACAUGCUAUGAGAUCCUUGACACAAAGUCCUCUGUACCAGCUUUUUUUUUGUUUCAUUUAGUUCCAUUUUCUAAAUGGCAUAAAAUAACACCCAGUGGACUUUUAACAAAAUAAAGGUUACAACAUUAAGCUUUUUCUUCCA